UACGUAGGGGGCAAGCGUUGUCCGGAUUUAUUGGGCGUAAAGAGCGUGUAGGCGGCCAGACAGGUCCGUUGUGAAAACUAGAGGCUUAACCGGGGAACUGCGUCUGAUACUGGAUGGCUUGAGUUCGGGAGAGGGAUGCGGAAUUCCUGGUGUAGCGGUGAAAUGCGCAGAUAUCAGGAGGAACACCUAUUGCGAAGGCAGCUCGCUGGGACGUAACUGACGCUGAGACGCGAAAGCGUGGGGAGCAAACAGG
rnacentral:rRNA from 1 species